UCAUCCAUUUUGAGAUUUCACUGAGGCAGGCUGAGAUCUGUGCUUAGACAGUUGGGUCGUCUGACAGGAAUGACGGAUAAACCUGAGUAUCAUCACUACUGAGAAGAGAAGGGCGCAGAUCCAGUGAAAAUAAAGUGACACAUGGACUUCUCCUUGCCAUGCCACUUUGAGUGAUCACUUUGUAAGGUCUGAGCCUCUUCAAUCAGGCUCUGGCUGUGAGUCGAGAUGCCGACUGUCCCUGUGCAGCGCAAAACUAAUCAUCCACUUCAUACAGUGAAAACAAGCCACUACGAGAGCAUCGCCAGCUGUGUGGUUAAGGAUACAAACGCUACAGCCGCCUUCGCCCCACCUCCCCUCUGCACCUCUCCCAGUGCUGGAGGAACAACAGGGCCGAAGUGGAAGUGGAGAUCGAACAGGAAUGACAACCUGUGUGUGUGAGAUACAGUGCAAAUGAGCUCUGUAAAGGUGCUAAUUGUAGGCUAAGAAAAACAGCUCAGAAAGAGUGUGUGUGUAUAUCUGUUCCUCGUUUUGCCUAAAGAUGCGAGUGGCUAAUUUUGCUUACCAGAACCAUUUUUGCUUAUCAACAAAAAAUGAGGAAAAUAUGGAUCUUAGCUCAUUAUGGUGUUGUUUAUGUUUACCCAAGUAACCCAUUAAACCUGGGAGAGAGCCUCUUUUAACUGUGAGCAUGUUAGUAAUGUGGUCUCAGUCAUUGGAGGGGGCUACUCAUUACUCUUUAAUGUGCUGAAUAAACAUUUCACAGGCUCACUGUUCCCCGCUAUUGUUCAUAUUGUUGUGAA